rnacentral:rRNA from 1 species
UACGUAGGCAGCAAGCGUUGUUCGGAAUUACUGGGCGUAAAGAGUGUGUAGGCGGUGCUCCAAGUCUGGUGUGAAAUCUCCCGGCUUAACUGGGAGGGUGUAUUAGAAACUGGAAUGCUAGAGGAUGGGAGAGGUAAGCGGAAUUCCUGGUGUAGCGGUGAAAUGCGUAGAUAUCAGGAGGAACACCUGUGGUGUAGACAGCUUACUGGACCAUUUCUGACGCUGAGACACGAAAGCGUGGGUAGCAAACAGG